rnacentral:rRNA from 1 species
UUCGCAAUGCCCGAAAGGGUGACGAAGCGACGCCGCGUGCGGGAAGAAGGCCUUCGGGUUGUAAACCGCUGUCGGGAGUUAGGAAGUGCAAGGAUGUUAAUAGCGUCUUUGCUUGACUAAGGCUCCGGAGGAAGCCACGGCUAACUCUGUGCCAGCAGCCGCGGUAAUACAGAGGCGGCAAGCGUUGUUCGGAAUUAUUGGGCGUAAAGAGCACGUAGGUGGGUUUGUAAGUCAGAUGUGAAAGCCUCCUGUUCAACGGGAGAAUUGCAUCUGAAACUGCUGAUCUUGAGUGUAGGAGGGGAGAGUGGAACUUCUGGUGGAGCGGUGAAAUGCGUAGAUAUCAGAAGGAACGUCGGCGGCGAAAGCGACUCUCUGGUCCGUAACUGACGCUGAGUGUGCGAAAGCUAGGGGAGCAAACGGGAUUAGAUACCCCGGUAGUCCUAGCCGUAAACGAUGGGCACUAAGUAGAGGGGUUUU